CUUAGAGUACUAAUUUGUUCUUAUUUCAUUUCUUCACUCUUUCAUCGGCAAUGAAACCUAGCGCGAAGAACCAGAAUUCUCCCAUUUCUCUUUAAUAUGGAAUGGAAGCGACGAGAAAUCUUUCAUUUCUUCGUAUCUUCAUCAAUUUUCUUACCUUAUAUCAGUUAUUCUUCAUUCAAUUUACAAAAAUCUUAGAUUCUCGGUGUUAAUGAAGUUCGCUGAAAUGUAAAUUCCAGGAGUAAGUUUAGUUGUAACUAACCGACGGAGAACGAAGAAGAUAUGAUUGGAUCUCUUAAUAAACGUUGUAGCAGGAAACAUAGAGAACAUUAUUAGGGCACUAGGACUGCAUAAGGAAAGAGCAGAAACAAUUCAGUGCUUCUCUUCUGAUUCUUUGGCGGAUGUCUGGACCCACCUAAUCCGAUGGUGUUUGCAAGUCCCAUUAGCUGGCGGAAAUGGGUAUAUGUUGUUGAUGCAUAUGCAAUAUUCUGCACAGGAAAGUGGAUCAAGUAAACCCCGAAGAUCAUAUGUUGAAUAAAUACUGGGAAUGACUUGGUAAAGAGUCGUGAAACAAGUUAAAGAGUCAGAUGCAGAAGUAUUGACUGAGAUUGGUCAUAGGACCAUCAUAACUCUGAGCUUGUGGUAUUGAAGCGUGCAAGAAUGGCACUGCAAGAGCACAUAAGAAGAUGAAAGAUGCAAAAUAUUAUGCUCUGCCUCGUUAUAAUUAUUCAAGGUAAAGACAGAGAUGAACUUCAGUUACAGUGCGAGCCCUCCAUCAAUGCCUCACAUGCAUGUCCACAGAAUAGCAUUGUGGUUGAGCUGUGAUUAUCUUAUGGUUCUGUUUCAGUCUGGAAUGUAGGAGAGGUGAGUGGACUAAACUUGAUUUUUUCUGCUUUCUUUUAAUUCACCUUCUUUUACGUUUUAAAACUUCACAUGAAGGAGAAUUCUGCAACUAUGAAGAAGGAAAAGCAAGCUUAUAGGAGCAGUGAUGUAGUUAGACCUCAGUUUGAGUCUAACCUUACCUCUAAAGUCAUGACAUCAAGGCCAGAGUACAAUCAAAUCCUUGUGAAGAUUCCUGGGUAGUGACUUCCGGGGAAAUUUUGUAAAAACAUCCUUCUUAAACAGUUUUUCAUUUAUGUGCAGAUAUGUAACAUUUUACAUGUUUAUAUUGAUGCGUUGUUGAAUUUUAACCAACCAGAUGUCGGUCUCCUCCAAGAUUUGAAUGAGGUCUUAUCUUUUUGUUCAUGCCAUGGCUUUUUUUGAGUAUUGCACUACUGUCGACUGUCUAGUAGUGCUCUUAGUCAAGGUUUUUAAACUACAUAAGCUCCAUAUCCGAUAUCUUUUUUGAGUAUUGCACUACUGUCGACUGUCUCUAAUAUUACAUAUGCAGAGUACGUGUGUACGUAGUUGUCCUGUUGAUUGUUACCGUGUGCUUAGCUGUACAAAUGCUAAUUAUUAGCGGUAAAUAACUGUAUUAUACCUUUUGCGCCAUUGACAUCAAUAAUUUUUUUUCCCUUCUGUUUUAUGUAUUAGAGAGUCAUAAGCUCAAAAUGGGAGAGUGCCCAAGCCUACCACAAGGGUUUGCGGAGGUUGAUGGUUCAAAUCCAUCUGAGUUUCAACAUGUGUAUCGCUACCGGUGUUUAGACAUGUACACAGUUGUACACUUUAUCUUGUCUCAUCAGUAUAUGGCAUGGUUUGUUAGUGCGGAUGUUGAAUUUUCUGAAUUCUCGUAGAUGUGGACAUAGCAGUACAACAUUGUCCUGUCUCAUGGAUAUAUUGCUGAGUAUGAAUAUGCUGGACUUGACUUUUGCAGAUGUGUACAUACUACAUAGUAAUAUACCAGUGUAAAUUAAAAAAAAAUUAAAAAAUGAAUAUUAUAUGGUCAUAUGGGUACUUUUUUUGUACAUCUCGGAAAGAGCUUUCCGAAUAUAUAAAGUUUACAAAUUUUGGACGAGCGGUUUGAAA